GACGAGCCACACAAACGUUAUUCGGAAUUACUGGGCUUAAAGGGUGCGUAGGCGGCGCGGAAAGUGGGGUGUGAAAGCCCUCGGCUCAACCGAGGAAUUGCGCUCCAAACUACCGUGCUCGAGGAAGACAGAGGUUAGCGGAACUUCGGGUGGAGCGGUGAAAUGCGUUGAUAUCCGAAGGAACACCGGUGGCGAAAGCGGCUAACUGGGUCUUAUCUGACGCUGAUGCACGAAAGCCAGGGUAGCAAACGGG
rnacentral:rRNA from 1 species